CCGCAGUAGCAGCAGCAGUGGCAGCAGUGAUAGUAGCAGCUGCAGUAACAAUAGCUGUGAGAAGGGCCAAAAGUCCACUAGACGGCAAAACCCAGAAGGCCACCGCUUCACACCUCACGUUGAGCUGAAGGGGACACAACAACGUGGAAUAGCCAGUGGUAUUCGCAAACCCGGCACCCCUGGCAUCAAGAGCAGCAGCAGCAGCAGUGAGAGCAGCCGC